rnacentral:lncRNA from 1 species
ACAUACAAAGCCCCCCUUCAACUGACAUGACAAAGGCCUCCUUCUACUAGCUACCAGUCUCAUCAAAAUAAGUCUCAUCUCUAAUCUCUCUUCUCUGUGUGUUUUGGUGAGUCUAGCAAGCUACUAGUCAGUCACAGAGAAAAUACAGACUUACAACACCUAACGGAGAUGUCUGGUGGUCCCCUCUCCUGCUUCUCCAAACAGGGAAUACUCCUACUCUCUAUACUCCACUAUGUCAGCACAGAGCUUCGGGGCUUUGUGUGAACAAUUGUCACAAACAAAUCGGUUGCACUGGACAAAGUUUUCAUGGGCCUUGAUUCGUGUGCACUUGCCGCAGAUGUGGAAUAAUCUCUCUGAAGCAGCUGUGUGGCAUGGUCUCUCUGGAAAAAGCAAUGAGCAACAGUACAAACUCUGAUGUGCUCCAACAAAAUUUGAUUUGUCACGUGCCGAAUACAACAGGUGUAGAGCUUGCAGUGAAAUGCUUACUGACAAGCCCUUAACCAAC